UCUUCAAGGGAAGCCUGGCUACUCGGAGC
rnacentral:piRNA from 1 species